rnacentral:rRNA from 1 species
AUACGUAGGGGGCAAGCGUUGUCCGGAAUUACUGGGCGUAAAGAGCUCGUAGGCGGCUCAGCAAGUCGGUCGUGAAAGCCCGAGGCUCAACCUCGGAACUGCGGUCGAUACUGCUGUGGCUAGAGUCCGGUAGAGGAGAGUGGAAUUCCCGGUGUAGCGGUGGAAUGCGCAGAUAUCGGGAGGAACACCAGUGGCGAAGGCGGCUCUCUGGGCCGGUCCUGACGCUGAGGAGCGAAAGCGUGGGGAGCAAACAGGAUUAGAUACCCUAGUAGUCC